CUUGAUUGGAGUCCACUUGUGGUAAAUUUCAUUGAUUGGACAUGAUUUGGAAAUGCACAGGUCCCAUGGUUGACACAGUGCAAAAACCUGUGCAAAAAACAAGCCAUAAGGUCGGGGGUCCUUAGAGACCACUUAUGCUACUUGUGCCUGGAGCCGGCCCUGAGUCCAAUGUUUCUCAACCGCACUUUCUCCUUCCAUCUCUCUGUCUCUCUUUUCAUCUCUGACAGUCUGGCCAACAGUGCUGGAACUCAAACCCCGCCUCAGCGCCGGUGGACAUUCCAGGAAGAUACUUUGAUCACCUACAGUUCCCUGAGGGGUGGUCUUUUCUCUUAGCAGAUAUGGAAGAAGUGGAAGCAGAAUGUGCGCCCAUGAAAUACGCCCCCAGGAUGCAGCGGACCAGCCAGAUGGAGAAGAUGAGGAGCUGGAGGAGGAACAGAGGGUGCAACGGGAGCAGCUGGCAGCCAUCUUCCAGCUGCUGAAGGAGAACCAGGAGACGUUUGGGGAGGUGUCAGAGAGAGACGUGGAGGAUCAACUCUACUCCAUCUAAACCCCUAGUCUACUCACAGUCGACUGUACUACGUCUAACUCUACUUUCCCCAAACUCUACUCUAUGUUAAUCCCACAUAAAGCUCACAGUCAAGAUUAAGGUGCAUUCACAUGGUCCACUGGGUUUCAAAGGGGGUGUUGUUUCAAAGGUCCACUCUGUUUUGAGGCACAUACUCUUCUCUAAAGAUUCUGGGGUGAUGGCAAAUCAGGCUUUGGAUAGUUGGGCCUGAGUGAUUUGAUUGGUCUGAUAAAAUACGAGGUUCUUAUAUCGUACACACCCAUGAAAGCCAACAGUUUCAGCAAGCCUCACAUCAAACUCUUAUCUGAACAGAUCUUUAUCCUUUCAGCUAUUCCCUGCCUUGCCUCGGCCGUAUCCUUAUCUUGUCCAUUGCUAUCUCUCCUCACCCUUUCCCACGGAGCACCCUUUCCCACGGAGCACCCUUUCCCACGGAGCACCCUUUCCCACGGAGCACCCUUUCCCACGGAGCACCCUUUCCCACGGAGCACCCUUUCCCACGGAGCACCCUUUCCCACGGAGCACCCUUUCCCACGGAGCACCCUUUCCCACGGAGCACCCUUUCCCACGGAGCACCCUUUUCCACGGAGCACCCUUUCCCACGGAGCACCCUUUCCCACGGAGCACCCUUUCCCACGGAGCACCCUUUCCCACGGAGCACCCUUUCCCACGGAGCACCCUUUCCCACGGAGCACCCUUUCCCACGGAGCACCCUUUCCCAUGGAGCACCCUUUCCCUCUAGACGCCUCUGUUUGAACAAACACAUCAUUGGUGCGAACACAAACAUGUACAUUAGAUACUCCAACACGGCGUCUGCUGUUUAUUACUUUUAUAUACCAUUCAAAGCAAUAAACACUGUGUAUUUGAUACAAGUAAUGGCAUCA